rnacentral:rRNA from 1 species
GAAGCACCGGCUAACUACGUGCCAGCAGCCGCGGUAAUACGUAGGGUGCGAGCGUUAAUCGGAAUUACUGGGCGUAAAGCGUGCGCAGGCGGUUUUGUAAGACAGGCGUGAAAUCCCCGGGCUCAACCUGGGAACUGCGUUUGUGACUGCAAGGCUAGAGUACGGCAGAGGGGGGUGGAAUUCCACGUGUAGCAGUGAAAUGCGUAGAGAUGUGGAGGAACACCAAUGGCGAAGGCAGCCCCCUGGGUCGAUACUGACGCUCAUGCACGAAAGCGUGGGUAGCAAACAGGAUUAGAUACCCUGGUAGUCCACGCCCUAAACGAUGUCAACUAGGUGUUGGGUGGGUAAAACCAUUUAGUACCGGAGCUAACGCGUGAAGUUGACCGCCUGGGGAGUACGGCCGCAAGGUUAAAACUCAAAGGAAUUGACGGGGACCCGCACAAGCGGUGGAUGAUGUGGAUUAAUUCGAUGCAACGCGAAAAACCUUACCUACCCUUGACAUGUCCAGAAGCCUGAAGAGA